UGGGGAAUCUUGGACAAUGGGGGCAACCCUGAUCCAGCCAUGCCGCGUGAGUGAUGAAGGCCUUAGGGUCGUAAAGCUCUUUCGCCUGUGAAGAUAAUGACGGUAGCAGGUAAAGAAACCCCGGCUAACUCCGUGCCAGCAGCCGCGGUAAUACGGAGGGGGUUAGCGUUGUUCGGAAUUACUGGGCGUAAAGCGCACGUAGGCGGACCAGAAAGUUGGGGGUGAAAUCCCGGGGGCUCAACCCCGGAACUGCCUCCAAAACUAUUGGUCUAGAGUUCGAGAGAGGUGAGUGGAAUUCCAAGUGUAGAGGUGAAAUUCGUAGAUAUUUGGAGGAACACCAGUGGCGAAGGCGGCUCACUGGCUCGAUACUGACGCUGAGGUGCGAAAGUGUGGGGAGCAAACAGGAUUAGAUACCCUGGGUAGUCCACACCGUAAAACGAUGAAUGCCAGUCGUCGGGUAGCAUGCUAUUCGGUGACACACCUAACGGAUUAAGCAUUCCGGCCUGGGGAGUACGG
rnacentral:rRNA from 1 species